UUUGAGACAAACAGAGAAACAAUCUUAUUUAAAGAUAGUCUUGAACUGGAAAAAGCAAACAUUGCAGGCUACUCACAGUGAGAAAGCUAAGCUUUACGGUUUACCAGGAUCAGCAAAUUAUGAAAGAGCUGAGAUAUUCUUCCCCAUGAGAUCUGAGCAGUAAAUCAUCCAGCGGAGCAAGACCCAACCGCAAAGAACAGAGCACUUGUGUC
rnacentral:misc_RNA from 1 species